UACGGAAGGGGCAAGCGUUGUUCGGAAUUAUUGGGCGUAAAGGGCGCGUAGGUGGUCUUGUAUGUCUAUCGUGAAAGCACACAGCUCAACUGUGUAAAGUCGAUAGAAACUGCGAGACUUGAGGUUGGGAGGGGCUGGUGGAAUUCCCUGUGUAGCGGUGAAAUGCGUAGAGAUGGGGGAGAACACUUGUGGCGAAGGCGGCCAGCUGGACCAAAUCUGACACUGAGGCGCGACAGCGUGGGGAGCAAACAGG
rnacentral:rRNA from 1 species